rnacentral:tRNA from 1 species
AGCCUUGUAUUCAUUGUGUGAUUAUAGAAUGCAAUUCUAUAGGGGUGAGUUGGAACUUACCAAGGCCU